UACGAAGGUCCCAAGCGUUGUUCGGAAUCACUGGGCGUAAAGGGCGCGUAGGCGGCGUGGUAAGUCAGAUGUGAAAUCCCGGGGCUCAACCCCGGAACUGCAUCCGAUACUGCCAUGCUAGAGGAUUGGAGAGGUAGCUGGAAUUCUUGGUGUAGCAGUGAAACGCGUAGAGAUCAAGAGGAACACUCGUGGCGAAAGCGAGCUACUGGACAAUUCCUGACGCUGAGGCUCGAAGGCUAGGGUAGCGAAAGGG
rnacentral:rRNA from 1 species